rnacentral:rRNA from 1 species
GACGAACGCUGGCGGCGUGCUUAACACAUGCAAGUCGAGCAAUGAAGAAGAGCUUGCUCUUCGGAUUAGUGGCGAACGGGUGAGUAACACGUGACUAACCUGCCCCUUUCUCUGGGAUAACGCUCCGAAAGGAGUGCUAAUACCGGAUACUCACAUCGAGGCACAUGCCUUGAUGUGGAAAGUUUUUCGGAAAGGGAUGGAGUCGCGGCCUAUCAGCUUGUUGGUGAGGUAACGGCUCACCAAGGCGACGACGGGUAGCCGGCCUGGGAGGGCGACCGGCCACACUGGGACUGAGACACGGCCCAGACUCCUACGGGAGGCAGCAGUGGGGAAUAUUGCACAGUGGGCGAAAGCCUGAUGCAGCGACGCCGCGUGAGGGAUGAAGGUAUUCGGAUUGUAAACCUCUUUCAGUAGGGACGAAGCGAAAGUGACGGUACCUAAAGAAGAAGCACCGGCUAACUACGUGCCAGCCGCCGCAGUAA